UGUGAGAGCGAGCUUGCUCGCGAUAGCGGACUUUCAGCCAACAUUAUGUCGACUGAUGCGACGCCAUCGCGAGCAAGCUCGCUCCCACA
rnacentral:antisense_RNA from 1 species